GCCAGGUGCAGUGGCCACACCUGUCAUCCCAGCAGCUCUGGAGGCUGAGGCAGGAGGAUCGCAAGGUGGAGGCCAGCCUCAGCCACUUACCGAGGCCCUCAGCAGCUCAGGGAGACCCUGUCUCUA
rnacentral:sRNA from 1 species